UUUCCGUAGGUGAACCUGCGGAAGGAUCAUUGCGAAACGUUGAGGGGAGAAUGUUGGAAUGCGGGGAGAGAUAUCACGUGACAACAAUUACCAAACAUACAUAACUAGCCACCUUGGAUCUCUGGGCUCUU
rnacentral:misc_RNA from 1 species